GAAAUGCGAUAAGUAGUGUGAAUUGCAGAAUUCAGUGAAUCAUCGAAUCUUUGAACGCACAUUGCGCCCUUUGGUAUUCCUUAGGGCAUGCCUGUUCGAGCGUCAUCUAAACCUUCAAGCCCUGCUUGGUGUUGGGUGCCUGUCCCGCCUCCGCGCGCGGACUCACCUCAAAUCCAUUGGCGGCCCCCGCGUCGGCCACGAGCGCAGCAGAUACGCGAACUCGUGAGCCCGUCCGGGCGGCUCCCAGAAGCUACACCCACCCAGUUUGACCUCGGAUCAGGUAGGGAUACCCGCUGAACUUAAGC
rnacentral:misc_RNA from 1 species